CCUACGGGAUGCAGCAGUGGGGAAUAUUGCGCAAUGGGCGAAAGCCUGACGCAGCGACGCCGCGUGAGGGAUGAAGGUCUUCGGAUCGUAAACCUCUGUCAGCAGGGAAGAACGGUCACUGUGCUAAUCAGCAGUGAAUUGACGGUACCUGCAAAGGAAGCACCGGCUAACUCCGUGCCAGCAGCCGCGGUAAUACGGAGGGUGCGAGCGUUAAUCGGAAUUACUGGGCGUAAAGCGCUCGUAGGCGGUAUGUCAAGUCAAGGGUGAAAUCCCCGCGCUCAACGUGGGAACUGCCUUUGAAACAGGCAAACUGGAGUGUGUGAGAGGAUAGUGGAAUUCCAGGUGUAGGAGUGAAAUCCGUAGAUAUCUGGAGGAACAUCAGUGGCGAAGGCGACUAUCUGGAACAUAACUGACGCUGAGGAGCGAAAGCGUGGGUAGCAAACAGGAUUAGAUACCCUUGUAGUC
rnacentral:rRNA from 1 species